UUAUUAAUAGUCUAAAGUUUUAAGAUAUUUCAUUGUUAAUGAAAUGAUAAUUUAAAUUAAUUUUAAUAAG
rnacentral:tRNA from 1 species